rnacentral:lncRNA from 1 species
GUUCGUCGACGGAGGCGCGGAGGGCGCCCCCCGCGGACUGCACGCGCCUGAGGUGAGGGCUGUGGCCAGAGGAGGCCGCGGUUAGAAAGCCUCAGCCUUGACAGCCGCCACGGCGUAUCGCUAGGCCGCGACUGGUCCGCCGCGCGUGGGCGCAGCUCCCCAAGGGCAUUGUGGGUAAGGCGGCCGCGGGCCUCUGCUUCCCGGGCAGCCCUGGUGGUGGCAAAGGCAGGAUUCCGGAGAGGUGGCCCGUCCCGAGAGACGCCUGGUUUCUCCUCCGGCGUCCCCCCGUUGGCCUGCUCUGGUUUUCUCUUAGGAGUCCAUGCUUCCAGGGCUAACUCAGAACACCGAUGAGAAGCUGCAAUCAACUGAAGUGAUAGAGAAUUGGCACUAAGUAUUCUAUGUACCAUAUGAGUAAUGAUGUAGUAAUGAUGCUGCAUUUGCUUUUGCUGUUGAUGGAAAAAAUACGGUGAAGAUGCUAAAGAUGAUGUCAGAUAUUGAGCAUAAAAUGGGAUGCAGAACAAUUCUGGUAAAUGAAGGAACUUGUAAGGAGUGAUACACAGAAGAGGAAGAUGGAAUUCCAGCUCUGGGGUGGUUUGUUAUUUAUUGCUCUCAGUGACUUCGUUCCCUGAAAAUGAAAACGUUUUUAAUCUGCAUGGCG